rnacentral:lncRNA from 1 species
UGUGUCAGAUCACGUUUGAGACGCUCACCAGGCGUACAAAGUGUUAGUUCCUUGCAUAGAUCGUGCCCCAGUCCACACACCUUCUCCCUUGCCCUCUCCUGAUUCCAUAGAGAAUCCCAUCUGAAAGAGGCUAAGUAUCCGACUGCAGCAUUCUCCCUCCUCCUCCCUACCCCGCCUGCUCUCUUUCAGAUCAGAGCUUCGGCGAUGGAAAAGCAGCUGUCGGUCCUGGCCGUGUAACCACCCCAGAUUUGCCAGACACACGCUGUCGCUCUGCAUUUUAGGCCAGGUUUUGUGAAUUCUGUAAGCUUCUGUUUUACAUCCUCCGAAGAAGUUGAGGGAAAGGGGCAACUUGAAGAGGCAAGAAAAUGCUUCAUUCCUGGGGCUUUGUGAAUGGAAGUGCCCGCCAGGGAGUCGGUUGUGGAGCGGACCUUGGAGCAAGCUGACAGCAAAUGAGUUUUCAAAGUUCACAUUGGCAAGCUCCGCAUUCCUUAAGAAACUCGGUUUGGGUUAUCCAAGUUCUUCCAAUCACUCACCCAAACAGACCUGAGAUCUGCUUCUCCCAAGUCAAUGGAGGUCCAUAAUGA